rnacentral:hammerhead_ribozyme from 1 species
AUCCAGCUGAUGAAUCCGAAACAGAACAAAACAGGUGUCCUGGAU